rnacentral:rRNA from 1 species
AAAAAUAAGAUAUAUAAAUUAUACUUAUUGUUUUUGUAAAAAAAAAAUCAAUAAGCAAUAUAAGUAUGUAAAGGAAUUAUUAUGCAAUUCUAGCUAUGUAUUAAGGAGAGCAAAUUUGAUAUAAAAAGGAAUAUUUUAUAUUCCUAGUUAAUAAGCUCUAGAAUAAAUUUAAUAAUAAACGAAGUGAAGUGAAAUAUCUCAGUAACUUCAGGAAAAGAAAUCAAAAGAGAUUCUAUGAAUAGCGUGAGCAAAAGUAGAUAAGUCUAUUAAGUAAAAUGGUAUAUAAACUGUUUGAAUGGGGAACCUUCCUCAAAGACUAAAUAUGAUACAUAAGCGAUAGAUGAUGGGCCGUGAGGUAAUUAGAAGUUAGUAGUAAUUUUAUAAGCAGUUCGAAUAGACUUAAUUUAAGCUAAAGAACGUACCUUUUGCAUAAUGGGUCACCAAGUUAACAUUAGAUGCGAGAUAAUAUCGUAGUUAAACCAAACAUUAAAAAAAUGAUAAGUGUCUAAAGUUAGACCCGAAGCCUAGUGAUUUUACUAUGGUCAGGAUUAUAAAAGUCCGAACGGGUGAUUGUAGCAAAAAUCUCCGAAGAACCGUGGUAGGUAUAGUGAAAGACAAUACUGACUAGGAUAGCUGGUUUUCUGCGAAACCUAUAACAGUAGGCAAUUUAAGUAAAUAUCUUAGCAGGUACAGAAUUUAAUCUCAGGCAAUUUAUUGCACAAAUUGGGGAAUCGUGAAGAUUUUAUCAGUGAGUAUGUAGACUCGGAAUGGUAAAGAUAUAUCUUGAAUGAUCAGACAUAGAAUGAUAAGGUUGUGUAUGUCAAAAGGGAAACAGCCCAGAACAAGAGUUAAGGUUCCUAAAUUAUUUGUUGAGUGAAAUUAAGAAAGUUUUUAUUAAAGUCGACAAGGAGAUAGGCUUAGAAGCAGCCAUAAUUUUAUGACCUCGUAACAGAGCGCUUGUUAAGUUAUAAAAGCAUCGAAAAUAUAACGGAUCUAAACAAUAUACCGAAACCUUGUCCAUAAAUUAAUGUAGUUUACUUUUCAAAAACGACAAAUUUAUGGGGUAGCAGAACGUUGAAUUAAACUAAAUAACAAGUUUAUAAAUUUGUUAUGUUAAUUCAAGUGAGAAUGGUGACAUGAGUAACGAAAAGAAUAGUAGAUGAUAUUAUAAAACUACAUUAAAUAUUUGAUCUUAUUUAAUGUUUAAAGAUCUACUAUCCGCCUAAAGCUUAUGGUUAGAAUUAAGUAACGGCCUCUAAGCUUUUUUAUCUAAAGAUUGAAGCGAUGAGAAAAUCUUUUAUUAUAAGACGACAUUUAUCUAGUGAAAAAUGUACAGGAAAUAUUAUAAUAUAGUAACCGUACCUAGAAACCGACUAUGGUAAGCUAGUAGAGUAUACGAAGGCGUAAUUGAGAUAACAAUCAUAAAGGAACUCGGCAAAUUGACUAUCGUAACUUCGGGAUAAGUAGGGCUCAUUAUUCUUGAUUAAUAUCAGGUAAAGAGGAAGAAACAUAAAAUAAUGUUGUACGACUGUUUAAUUAAAACACAGCACUUUGCUUAAAGAUUAAAAAUCUAUGUAUAAAGUGUGAUAUCUGCCCGGUGCCGGCUGGCUAACAGAGAUAAUUGAAUACAUUACUAUUUGAUGUCAACGGAAGCCCCGGUUAAAGGCGGCCUUAACGUGAGGGUCCCUAAGGUAGCGAAAUGCCUUGGCCGUUAAAUGCGGUCUUGCAUGAAUGGUGUAACGAUACAACAGCUGUCUCUAUGAUUGACUCAGUGAAAUUGGAAUAGCUGUGCAGAUACAGCUUACCUCUAGUUAGACGAGAAGACCCUAUGCAGCUUUACUGUCACUAAUUAUAGAUUUUGAUGAAAAAUUUUCAGACUAAAAGGUUGUUGAUUAAAUAUUCAUGAGAAACCUUUAUUUUUAUUCUUCAUUUGAAUGAAUUGAUAUACCUUUAGUAUAUCAUCCUAGUUCAACUUAGUUCUUAGUUUACUAAGAAAUAGGUACCCUUGGAAAGGAACUAUGACUAGGGGACAGUUUAUGUGGGGCACAGACCCUGUAAAGAGUAAACAGGUGUGUCUAAUAAUUAUUUUUAUUUUGUUUGCUAUUUUUAUAUAAAUCAUAUUCACUUUGAUAUAAUUGUAUUGUGUACGGCUUUAAUAAAGCUUGUUAUACAAUUAUAUUUAUAUUGAAAAUUUAGGUAAGAUUUUGACUAUACUGAAAUUAGAGAUAAUUUAAAAUUUUAUGUAAUUAGCGCUAGCGUUACUAAAAUUUUAUAGUUACUAGGGCUGACUAGCUUACGCUAGCACAUAGUAAUUAUGUUUUUAAUAUCUAAAAAGCUCAACGGCUUAAUCUUGCCUUACUGUUUGAUUAUCGACAAAUCUUACAGUUGCGUAAGCAGGGCAUAGGAUCACAAGAUGCAAUAAGGAAAGAUCUUGGAUUAUUGGAAAAGCUACGCUAGGGAUAACAGGCUAAUUUGCGCAAGAGUGUACAAAAUGAGUGCGCGGUUUGGCACCUCGAUGUCGGCUUAACUUAUCCUCAUGGAUGCAGAAACUAUGUAGGGUGCGACUGUUCGUCGAUUAAAAAGUUACAUGAGCUGGGUUAAAUACGUCGUGAGACAGUAUGGUUUCUAUCUUCUAGAGGGAAUUAGAAUAAAAUAAGAACGAACUUUUGUACGAAAGGAACAAGAAUGAUUUAUGCGCUAUGUAGAUAUAGCGCUAAACAAAUUAUAGUUACUAACCUAUGGUUUACCUGUUGUUUAUAUGCCUUAUUAUUAAAUAUAUAGAUAAUAUAAUAUAUUUAUUUAUUAGUAUUUCGUAAUGAAUAUUUAUAUUUAGAUCAAUACCGUACUAAUUCAGUAGUGAAAACUACUGUUAUCUAUAUAUAUGUAUAUAUUAAUAUAUACAGAGGAUGUAUCGUUCGCUAGGAUAAUAUAUAAUAUAAGCACGGCAGGAAAGCUAAGUUGGUUAAGGAUAAGUGCUGAAAGCAUAUAGGCACGAAGCUUAUCUUAAGAUAUUUCUUAAAUAUAUGUAUUAGAAUAAUACACAAUAGGUUUUCUUUGUAAGAAUCUAGAGAUUUGUAAGAUGAAAAUACUAAUUUUAUAAAUUACUAUGUAUAUAUAUAUCA